rnacentral:tRNA from 1 species
GGCCACAUAGCUAAAAGGUACAGAGCACUCAGCUGGUAUCUGAGAGGUACAGGUUUCGAUUCUCUGUAGCUG